rfam:Gasterosteus aculeatus cont1.009494, whole genome shotgun sequence.
ACGUUAUCGGGAGCAGUGUCUCCCAUGACGA